CCUACGGGUGGCAGCAGUGAGGAAUAUUGGUCAAUGGGAGAGAUCCUGAACCAGCCAAGCCGCGUGAGGGAAGACGGCCCUAUGGGUUGUAAACCUCUUUUGUCGGAGAACAAAACCCGGGACGAGUCCCGGACUGCGUGUAUCCGAAGAAAAAGCAUCGGCUAACUCCGUGCCAGCAGCCGCGGUAAUAAGGAGGAUUCGAGCGUUAUCCGGUUUUGUUGGGUUUAAGGGGUGCGUGGGCGGUCUGUUAAGUCAGCGGGAAAAUUGCGGGGCUCAACCCCGUCGAGCAGUUGAAACUGGCAGACUUGAGUUGACGAGAGGUAGGCGGAAUGCGCGGUGUAGCGGUGAAAUGCAUAGAUAUCGCGCAGAACUCC
rnacentral:rRNA from 1 species